rnacentral:rRNA from 1 species
UACGUAGGGUGCGAGCGUUAAUCGGAAUUACUGGGCGUAAAGCGUGCGCAGGCGGUUUUGUAAGACAGAGGUGAAAUCCCCGGGCUCAACCUGGGAACUGCCUUUGUGACUGCAAGGCUUGAGUGCGGCAGAGGGGGAUGGAAUUCCGCGUGUAGCAGUGAAAUGCGUAGAUAUGCGGAGGAACACCGAUGGCGAAGGCAAUCCCCUGGGCCUGCACUGACGCUCAUGCACGAAAGCGUGGGGAGCAAACAGGAUUAGAAACCCCCGUAGUCC